AGGAAGUUGAGAGAGCAGCAGAAUUAAGAUAAUGGAUUUCAAAGGAGCCAACUUCAAUAAACUGAGGGAAAUGCUAGGCUUUGCUUCUCCGGGUGAUAAUCAAACUGGUGCAGAAGAGCUGCCAGUUACUGAAAUAGACUAUAUUAAAUAAACCACAGCAAACUAACCUGAUGAAAAGGAAAAAUUAGAGCCUAUCUACAUUAAUACCCCUCUAAGGGCCUGAAAGUCAAAAAGGAAUUGGACAAACUAUCUUCCAUAAAGAAAAUUCAGUUGACUGUUCAGAAAAUAGCUUUUUAAUUAUCAGCAUGGUAAAAUGUUGGAACCAGCUGCCUAGGAAUGCCAUGGACUCUCUUUCACUAGGUCUUUAAAAACACGUUUGGCAAACUUCUGUUUGUUAUUCUGCAGAUGAUACUUUAUCCUGUCUCAGGGUAGGGUUUGGAUUAGAUAACCUCUUUCGGCCCCACAUGUCUAUGACUUUACAGAACAAACACCUGCCUUCACCAUCAUUUUCUUCUUCUAGCUAAAACAACCCUGCAAGACUCCAAAGUUUUGAUUAAUCGCUCAAAUCAAAAAGGUUAGGACCAGUGUCAGGCAUACGAUUUAAUUUCCAAAGACAGUCAUUGUGAACUUGCACUUCUGUUAAAUAAAGGUUGAACAAAUGAUGGGAAUACUUCAAGAAAUCAAAUAUGGUUAAAAAGGAACUAUAACAGAACCUAAAAGCCUAAUACCCCUAUAAGAAGUGGAGGACUGAAAUAUUUCUUAACAGCAGAGAUGAGAUCUUUAUUGGGGCAGCAACUACAAAAUGCCCAGACUGAAAAGGCUAGCUGCAAAAUUGCUGGCUAAAUAGUAACAUAGAUUAAACAACUGACCAACAACUUGAUUGCCCUGAAUAGAAAAAAUGUAGGGAAGAACAAGAAAAGCAACACAGGGCUUUCUAAGAGAGGAGCUGAAAAAUCACCCUAAGAAGGUAAUCAAGGGAUCCCAGUCUGGAAAUUGCCCAUUUAUGUGUGGAACUGGGUCGGCUAGAGGACUUGGGUAAGGCCAGACAUUCGCAAUCGUUUCUACCCUGACUAUAGUCCACAUAGGUCCAAAGGAAGGAGGCUAGAUUGUCCUUUUCUGAAUAAUAAAAGCCAACUUUAAGGGAAAAACUCCCUGGGAGUUACUCAGGAACAAACAAAGAUUUUCAGGAUAAAUUGGCAAUUAACCAAUUUUACAGAUGCUCAGGUGGACUUUGACUUGAAGAUAUGAUCAGUGAAAAGAACCAAAGGUGUUUUAAGAGGCUGUGGAAUUUGACAAGAACCUUGCAUUUUCUCAGUAACAGUAAAGCAGAAGGGGAAGUGUCUACUAGUGAGGAACAAGGAAGCUUAUCACCAUGAGCCAUACCUAUAUGGCUACAGCCUGGAUACCUGGCACUUGGAAGAAAUCAAAUUGUAGCUGAUUUUUUCAAAUGAAAUCUUCAUAAUUUCCCAAGGAGGAAGCAAUGUUGUCUACCUGAAACCUGAGAUACUGCUCCUGCCUCUGUUCAAGGUGAUUUGCAUCAUCACAGAGCCUCACAAGAGAGCUGAUAGACGACUUACUAGCUAAGAACUGCCUGCCCAGAGGAGUAUUUCAUCUAUUGACUCCUCUGUGAAAUCUUAUGAAAUAUGAACUUUCAUUUCUACCCAGAAGAACUUUUGCAAUCUUUUCUCUGAUGCCUGAUGAAGGGUGUGUGUGUCUGAAAACUUGCAAUUAAAGAAUUUUUUUUGGCAAAAAUCUUGUUGGUUUAAUAAAAGACAUCACCUCUCUCAUGA